rnacentral:rRNA from 1 species
AGUGAACGCUGGCGGUAGGCCUAACACAUGCAAGUCGAACGGCAGCACAGUAAGAGCUUGCUCUUACGGGUGGCGAGUGGCGGACGGGUGAGGAAUACAUCGGAAUCUACUUUUUCGUGGGGGAUAACGUAGGGAAACUUACGCUAAUACCGCAUACGACCUACGGGUGAAAGCAGGGGAUCUUCGGACCUUGCGCGAUUGAAUGAGCCGAUGUCGGAUUAGCUAGUUGGCGGGGUAAAGGCCCACCAAGGCGACGAUCCGUAGCUGGUCUGAGAGGAUGAUCAGCCACACUGGAACUGAGGCACGGUCCAGACUCCUACGGGAGGCAGCAGUGGGGAAUAUUGGACAAUGGGCGCAAGCCUGAUCCAGCCAUACCGCGUGGGUGAAGAAGGCCUUCGGGUUGUAAAGCCCUUUUGUUGGGAAAGAAAAGCAGCAGGCUAAUACCCCGCUGUUCUGACGGUACCCAAAGAAUAAGCACCGGCUAACUUCGUG